UACAGAGGUCUCAAGCGUUGUUCGGAUUCAUUGGGCGUAAAGGGUGCGUAGGUGGCGCGCUAAGUCGGGUGUGAAAUCUCGGAGCUUAACUCCGAAAUUGCAUUCGAUACUGGCGUGCUGAGGACUGGAGAGGAGACUGGAAUUCAUGGUGUAGCAGUGAAAUGCGUAGAGAUCAUGAGGAAGACCAGUGGCGAAGGCGGGUCUCUGGACAGUCCUGACACUGAGGCACGAAGGCCAGGGAGCAAACGGG
rnacentral:rRNA from 1 species